rnacentral:rRNA from 1 species
UCUGCCGUGGGCGCUGGAGAACUGAGGGGGGCUGCUCCUAGUACGAGAGGACCGGAGUGGACGCAUCACUGGUGUUCGGGUUGUCAUGCCAAUGGCACUGCCCGGUAGCUAAAUGCGGAAGAGAUAAGUGCUGAAAGCAUCUAAGCACGAAACUUGCCCCGAGAUGAGUUCUCCCUGACCCUUUAAGGGUCCUGAAGGAACGUUGAAGACGACGACGUUGAUAGGCCGGGUGUGUAAGCGCAGCGAUGCGUUGAGCUAACCGGUACUAAUGAACCGUGAGGCUUAACCUU